rnacentral:rRNA from 1 species
GGGAUAACAUUCUGAAAAGAAUGCUAAUACCGCAUGACAUAUCGGAACCACAUGGUUUUGAUAUCAAAGAUUUUAUCGCUUGAAGAUGGACUCGCGUCCGAUUAGUUAGUUGGUGAGGUAACGGCUCACCAAGACCGCGAUCGGUAGCCGGACUGAGAGGUUGAACGGCCACAUUGGGACUGAGACACGGCCCAGACUCCUACGGGAGGCAGCAGUGGGGGAUAUUGCGCAAUGGGGGCAACCCUGACGCAGCAACGCCGCGUGAAGGAUGAAGGUUUUCGGAUUGUAAACUUCUUUUAUUAAGGACGAAAAAUGACGGUACUUAAUGAAUAAGCUCCGGCUAACUACGUGCCAGCAGCCGCGGUAAUACGUAGGGAGCAAGCGUUGUCCGGAUUUACUGGGUGUAAAGGGUGCGUAGGCGGCUUUGCAAGUCAGAUGUGAAAUCUAUGGGCUCAACCCAUAAACUGCAUUUGAAACUGUAGAGCUUGAGUGAAGUAGAGGCAGGCGGAAUUCCCCGUGUAGCGGUGAAAUGCGUAGAGAUGGGGAGGAACACCAGUGGCGAAGGCGGCCUGCUGGGCUUUAACUGACGCUGAGGCACGAAAGCGUGGGUAGCAAACAGGAUUAGAUACCCUGGUAGUCCACGCUGUAAACGAUGAUAACUAGGUGUGGGGGGUCUGACCCCUUCCGUGCCGGAG